CUCAUAUCUCCCUUUAUCAAUCGUGGUCUCUCUCAAUCUCUCAUGUCUCUCCCUCUCUUAAACUCUCAUAUCUCUCUUCCUCCCUCAUGUCCUUCUUACUACCCACGUGGAAAGCAGAUCGGCAUCUCUCCCAAAAUUGGAGCAAGGAAGUUGGGGCAUGGAAUCUGUGCGCUCGCCCAUCGAUCUUAUCACAUUAGAAAUUGUUUCUAGUUUAGCUCAGAUCACCCAGCAUGUGGCAGUAGAGAAUCAGAUUGGGGAUACACUUGGUCAGAAUUGAAGACACCGUCAUUGAUGAUAAGGCCAACCAUCAAACACAUGGAUGAACUGCGCCCUGCCCCUGGACGCAGCUGCAGGUCGCUGUUCAUGACCACCACCACCAAGUUCUACAUAUGGCCGUAUGCUCCACUGCUCUAAGAUGAUGUUGCCCUUUUCAGUUGUAUUUCAGUAGUAGAUCUGUAUUUACGUUCACGCACUACUUACUAGCGCUACUAGUAGAAAAGGGGGCAUUUGUCCCGGUUCGUAAGGGCCUUUAGUCCCGGUUCA